AUUGAACGCUGGCGGCAUGCUUUACACAUGCAAGUCGAACGGUAACAGGGAGCUUGCUCCGCUGACGAGUGGCGAACGGGUGAGUAAUGCGUCGGAACGUGCCGAGUAGUGGGGGAUAACGCAGCGAAAGUUGUGCUAAUACCGCAUACGUACUGAGGUAGAAAGUGGGGGACCUUCGGGCCUCACGCUAUUCGAGCGGCCGACGUCUGAUUAGCUAGUAGGUGAGGUAAAGGCUCACCUAGGCGACGAUCAGUAGCGGGUCUGAGAGGAUGAUCCGGCACACAGGGACUGAGACACGGCCCAGACUCCUACGGGAGGCAGCAGUGGGGAAUUUUGGACGAUGGGCGAAAGCCUGAUCCAGCCAUGCCGCGUGUCUGAAGAAGGCCUUCGGGUUGUAAAGGACUUUUGUCGGGGAGGAAAUCCCCAGCGCUAAUACCGCUGGGGGAUGACAGUACCUGAAGAAUAGGCACCGGCUAACUACGUGCCAGCAGCCGCAGUAAUAC
rnacentral:rRNA from 1 species